UCUACACAUCAUGGGCCCUCGUCGCAUGUUUGUAGAAUGAACGCACUGAAAGAAUGAGGGAAGCAGCAGCAAGGAAGGUCGAAGAGGUGCAAGAAUUUUGCAAGAGGCAGCCUGGGAUAUUCAGGUCUCUCUUGUGUUGGUUUGGAAAAACCUCCAGUUGGUGAUUCCAGAGCUGGCCUGUCAAUCUCUUCAAACAAGCCUAGUGAUAUCAUCAACCAUUGCCUCACCUUGACUGAAUUCCCAGAGCAAACUUCUGGAAAAGUGACCAACGAUCAGUGCGGGGACAGGAAAAACCUUGAAGACAAAGAAGAUGGGGAGGAGUGGUCAGGAAAAUCAAGCCCAGGGCAGAGGUGAAGUUGCCAGCUACCAGGAAAGAAAGGUUCCAGCUUCGGGGUUUUGAGGUUACUGCGCCUGCAUGCUGAGGCCCGCCCUUCCCGUAGUCUGGUGACCGUAGGACCCGAGGCGCGUGCGGCAGCGCCCUCUGCCGGCCAGGCUGGGGCAAACCAUCAGCUCUGCUGCUUUGCAGGUGGGACCCGGGAUCCCUCCCGCUGCCUCCGCCCCCGCUCCAUCCCUUCCCAGGACUGCACAGCCUGGUCCCAGAUCAGAUUUCAGGAGACGCGUCUCUAUCUGAUGCCUUCGGGCUGAGCAGGAUGAUGCUCGGAAACAUCCAAUUCACCCGGGGAUCGGAGGCCGCGGGAACCCACCCAAACCCAGGAGAGGCUGCGCCUCUUGGGACCCGGGGCCAAAGCCUGCUGGGCUGUCGGAGGUGGUUUGGAAGUGGCAUCGCCUAUGGCCAAGACCGCGGGUUCUGCGGACAGAGAGGAGCCCUGGGUUCGCUUUCUGCCUCAUCUAUUUUCAAGCUAGGUGACCUUGGGCAAGGUACUUAAAUUUCCCUGUGCCUUAGUUUCCUCAUCUUUAAGAUGGAGAAAAUGAUCCCGACCUUAGUGGGUUGACAUGACGAUUACAUGGGAUCAGACUGCCUGGGUUGGAAUUCUGGCACUGACAUCAGCUAGCUGUGUGCCUGGGGCGAGUUACUUAACCUCUCUGUGCCCCUGUUUCCUGCAAAAUAGGGAUAAUAACGGUACUUACCUCCG